GGACCUGACUGCUAUCGGAUUGAUACUAAGCCAUGCGAGUCUUUGCAGUAAUGCAAGGCAUACGGCUCAGUAACACGUAGUCAACUUACCCUAUGGACGAGGAUAAUCUCGGGAAACUGAGCAUAAUACUCGAUAGAUCAUAAUGUCUGGAACGGUUUAUGGUUGAAACGAUUCGUCGCCAUAGGAUAGGACCGCGGCCUAUCAGCUUGUUGGUGAGGUAAUGGCCCACCAAGGCGAUUACAGGUACGGGCUCUGAGAGGAGAAGCCCGGAGAUGGGUACUGAGACAAGGACCCAGGCCCUAUGGGGCGCAGCAGGCGAGAAAACUUUGCAAUGUGCGAAAGCACGACGAAGGUUAAUCCGAGUGAUUUCUGCUAAAGAAAUCUUUUGCGAAGUCAUAAAACCACUAGUGAAUAAGGGGUGGGCGAAGUUCUGGUGUCAGCG
rnacentral:rRNA from 1 species